GAUGAACGCUAGCUACAGGCUUAACACAUGCAAGUCGAGGGGCAGCACUAGGUAGCAAUACUGAGGUGGCGACCGGCGCACGGGUGCGUAACGCGUAUCCAACCUUCCCGAUACUCUUGGAUAGCCUUCCGAAAGGGAGAUUAAUACAAGAUGGUGUUUCACUUUCGCAUGUUAUUGAAACUAAAGAUUUAUCGGUAUCGGAUGGGGAUGCGUGACAUUAGAUAGUAGGCGGGGUAACGGCCCACCUAGUCUACGAUGUCUAGGGGUUCUGAGAGGAAGGUCCCCCACACUGGAACUGAGACACGGUCCAGACUCCUACGGGAGGCAGCAGUGAGGAAUAUUGGUCAAUGGUCGGAAGACUGAACCAGCCAAGUAGCGUGAAGGAUGAAGGUUCUAUGGAUUGUAAACUUCUUUUAUACGGGAAUAAAACCUCCCACGUGUGGGAGCUUGUAUGUACCGUAUGAAUAAGCAUCGGCUAACUCCGUGCCAGCAGCCGCCGUAAAAC
rnacentral:rRNA from 1 species